UGUAUGCUUUAUUUGAUGUGUUUCUUUUACUUAGAUUAUAUCUUGCUGUAUACUGUACUGUGGACAUGCACUUUUUGUAGGAAAACUCGGCGCGUCAACUGGGCAGUAAAGUUGGGCCACUGUGGAGAGCUCUUCUGAAAUGGAAGCAUCAACAAUGCCUCCAAAAACAAAGAUAUUUGUGGGCAAAUUGCCUCCAACUUGCAAGGACUUCGAAUUACGUAAAUUAUUCGAGAGGUAUGGGGAAGUCACAGAAUGCUCCAUUCUUGGGAAUUAUGCCUUUGUACACAUGAAGACGGACGAACAGGCAGCAACAGCUAUUAGGAACCUUAACAACUGGGACAUGAAUGGUUUCAAGAUCAGUGUUGAGCAAUCGACAGGAGAGAAGCGAGCUGGUGGAAUGGGUGGUAUGGGAGGUCGUGGAGGAAUGGGUGGUGGAUUCCGUGGACGGGGUGGCCCUAUGAGAGGACGAGGCAUGGGCCGUCCAGGCCCAUAUGACCGUAGACCCCCAAUGGGUGACCGCUAUGGACCACCACCCCCAGGCCCACCCCCAGCACCACCUAUGAGAAAUGGCUAUUAUGAUGAUUAUGAACGACGUGAUCGCAGACCCCUCCCUCCAGCAGGAGCUCUUGACCGUCGGCCUCCUCCUCCAAUGCCAAGAGAGCCAGCAUACAGAGACCCCUAUGACCGAUAUGAUUCUUAUGAUCGCAUGCCGCCUCCACCCAUGGGGCGUCGUACUCCCCCUCCAAUGGACCGUCGCCCUCCUCCUAUGGGAUAUGACCGCAGGGAUGAUCCAUAUGGAGAUAUGUAUGGACCAAGGCCAGAGCGUGACAUUUACGGUGGUGGCAGGGACAUGUUCCCACCUCGUGGACGAUCCCCACCUCGUCGUAGUCCUCCACGCCGGUACAACUGGGAGUUGGUUGACCAAUGAAGGCUUACCUUCCUAUAGUGAAGAAUGACCUUGAGAAGUCAGUCUGGUUCAAACAUCUUGUGCAUUUAGUUCCUGCAUCCAUCUUCAACUGGAAGAACUGCCAUGGCUGAGAAAAUUGGGAUGUGAAAUGGAUAUCUGGUAGAGGAAAGUUGCCAUCCAUUGUGGGUUGUGCUGCACCCUAUAAAAACUGAAACGACUUACAGAAGAUACUUGGGAGUUGACGUGUCGGCGGAUGGAUUUAUGAAGGAUGAGGUUAAUCAUAGAAUUGAUGAAGGAAAAAAGGUAAAAUUGGUGGUAGUCCAUUGUCGAUUUUUCCCUAUUGACAUUGCUAUCAUGGUGUUUGGUGCUGUAUUACCUAUGGGGCUUUUGUGAAUAUAUUUCUUAAAUAAAAAUGUAAAGAAUA